rnacentral:lncRNA from 1 species
AUUAAAAUAAACUAAUAUAGCAUUUGUAUAGGCAAGAACUAAGAAGACAUACAUACAAGUAUAAAAAAUGUGAAAGAAUAUAUAAACACUCGUGAUUCAUCAUUAUUCCUCCACGAGUAGAUAAUGGUUACUGUAAUACCCUAAAAAUGUAAAUAUAUGAAUUUAAUAUUCAAAAUUUUGAAUAUGUAAAAGAAUCGUGAAUUCAUAUUAAUUCAUUUAAGUCUAGCUUUAAAUUAAACUAGUUAAGAAGUCUGAAGUUUGGAAAUUAAUUAUCUAAAAUCGGUAGACCUUUUCAGGUCAAAAUUUAUAUUUUUGAGUAGAGCUCGGUCUCACGAACACGUAGGUGUAGACCGUUCGUGAAACGGAGUUAACGAAGAAGUUAUUAACGAUUAAAACUAGGGGUAAAAUGGUCAGUUGGUCAUAAAUCUGGAAGGCUCCAGAUUUGUUGGGGUUGUUCUAUGGGUGCCACGUGUGUGGCUGUCACUAGAAGGUGAGGAGAGAAAGAAGGGUGCGGACCAAUGGGAAGGGGAGAAGAAAAAGGAAUUAAAAAGGAGGGAAAUGGGGGAUACUGGAUUCUUUUGGAUCCGGGUUCUGUGUGCAACCCGACCCAGCCAUUCUUUCCGAUUUCGAUCACCUUUGAUGAUGAAAAUGGUGCCAAAACAACCCUCCCUUCAACCCUAAUUGAUACCUUUACCAAUUCCAUUCCAAUUUAAAUGGCAAUAUGUCUUAAAUUAGCUAAACCCGCACCGGUGGGGGCGUUACAAACCGUGUCGGCGAUCUCUCCUUGGUGAAGCCACCACCGUCGACCACUACUAUGGGUAGGCUCCCUGUAAACCCAGGAACAUGUCCCAAGCCUUGGUUGGGGCGACGGGGACAUCCGAGAUGACGAAUUAAGGGCACCCAUUUAUAGGGUUUUCGGCGGGUUCGAGGCGAAUUGGAGCAUUUUUAGGCCAAAUUGAACUUGGCAGCAUGUGUAAAGUUUGUUCUACUAUUUGAGACCUUCAUUUCUGUAAUUUUUAGAAUUUUUAGAAAUAGUAAAUUUUUCUGGCGAGGCGGGGCGGCCGACCGCCACCUGCAGCAGCGAGUGCGGCGGCGCACGGCCAGGGAGUCAACAUUGUCUUUUUAUGCGAAUUUCGUUAUUUUAAUUAUGCUUUUGAGAUCUAACUGUUGGGGAUUGAAUAUUAAUACAAUUGUGGUAUAUGUGGGAUUUAAAUGAAUAUAUUCGGUUUUGGUUUGAAUUUUUGAAAACGUGAACUACAAAUGGCUUGAUCCCUGUUUAGGGUACAUAGGCAAUCUAACGAGACAUUAGAUGCAGCCACAAAACAAGUGAGAUUAAAUACUUCGAGGGUAGAUAUUACUAUAAUGGAAAUUGACCUAUAAUUUCAGGGCCAGGUCGUUACAGUUACACUUACUUAUCGUUUAGAUUUUUAAAAUCCUCCAAACCUUCAUGAAUAAUGUUUUUUAUUUGAGGGAAAAAUUAAUAAAAUUAAUAAUAACUAUUGUAGAAGUGUAAAAAAUGUAAAAAAAAAAUAUACAAUCACUCAUAGUGACAAAUUUUACAACUUUCAUGAAAGGGUCAGCUUCGAAAUCCAACACUAUAAUUCAUAAACCUUAAAUUUAUAUUUAACCGUCGAUUGCUAUUUACGCUUUAUUCUUCUUACUGAAUUUCAUUUUUUAAAUUUUCUUUUUGAAAACAUGAUCAUCUGACGGAUGUAAGAAGAUGAACGGUUCAGAUCUUUGAUAUCACGUUUCGAUAUUUACGGUUAUUGAAAUAUGAGUCAUGCCAUAUAGUUUGUAGAAACUUUAUAAACAUCAAGCAAUAUUUUCACUAACCGUAAAACUCUAAAUAUAAUAUUAACGAUCCAAACCGUUCAUUUUCCUGCAUCUUCUAAUAAAUCAAGUUUUCAAAAAACAAAAUUUGAAAAAACAAAAUUUGAUGAGAAC